rnacentral:misc_RNA from 1 species
GAUGAAGAACGUAGCGAAAUGCGAUAAGUAAUGUGAAUUGCAGAAUUCAGUGAAUCAUCGAAUCUUUGAACGCACAUUGCGCCCGCCAGUAUUCUGGCGGGCAUGCCUGUUCGAGCGUCAUUACAACCCUCAGGCCCCCGGGCCUGGCGUUGGGGAUCGGCGGAAGCCCCCUGUGGGCACACGCCGUCCCUCAAAUACAGUGGCGGUCCCGCCGCAGCUUCCAUUGCGUAGUAGCUAACACCUCGCAACUGGAGAGCGGCGCGGCCAUGCCGUAAAACACCCAACUUCUGAAUGUUGACCUCGAAUCAGGUAGGAAUACCCGCUGAACUUAAGCAUAUCAAUAAGCGGAGAA